CCACCAUCAGGCGAUUUCCGGCCACCAGGAGACUCAUCCUUUUCCUCGUCACACUCAUCCCGUUCUUCGCGAAACUCAUCUCGUUCUUCGCGAAACUCAUCCUGUUCUUCACCAAGUACUUCGCAGAUCUUUCAAGAGGAAGGAAUGAGCAAGCUAUCGGCGGCGGAUAUUGGGAAGGGCGAUAUGACCGAUUGGAUGGCGGACAUCUAUGAGGCCAAGAUGCAGAAAGCCAAGGCCGAGUUGGAGGAGAAGGUGAGUAUUCUUCUUAGGUUGUCGUUUUUUUUUUUUUUUUUUUUUUUUUUUUUUUUUUUUUUUUUUUUUUUUUUUUU